rnacentral:tRNA from 1 species
GGCAGCAUAGUAUAACAGGAAGAACAUUGGAUUUGGAGUCAAAAGAUCUGGAUUCAAAUUGUGGUGCUGCUA